AGAGUCGCCCGGAUCACCGCGUUGUCGCAAGACACCGAGGAAAGUCCGGACUUCGCAGAGCAAGGCGGUGGGUAACUCCCACCCGGAGCAAUCCGCGGGAACAGUGCAACAGAAAGUAAACCGCCAACGAAAGUUGGUAAGGGUGAAACGGUGGUGUAAGAGACCACCAGUAAUUGCAGAAAUGCAGUUAGCUAUGUAAACCCCGCCUGAAGCAAGACCACGCAGUUGGCGUUUGAGAGCUGCUCGCUCGAGUCAACGGGUAGGUUGCUUGAAUCUGUAAGCAAUUACAGAUCUAGAUGGAUGGUGAUCCCUCGCAAGAGGACAGGAUCCGGCUUAUAGGGCGACUCUUCUU
rnacentral:RNase_P_RNA from 1 species